AACAUCGCGCACCUGCGGGAACCUGCGGAGGGAUCAUUACAGAGUUGCAAAACUCCCUAAACCAUUGUGAACGUUACCUAAACCGUUGCUUCGGCGGGCGGCCCGGGUCCUUCCCGGCGCCCCUCGGCCCUCGCGGGCGCCCGCCGGAGGUAGACCAAACUAUUGCAUUGUAUGGCCUCUCUGAGUCUUCUGUACUGAAUAAGUCAAAACUUUUAACAACGGAUCUCAGAUCGGAAGAGC
rnacentral:misc_RNA from 1 species